GAGUUUGAUCCUGGCUCAGGAUGAACGCUAGCGAUAGGCUUAACACAUGCAAGUCGAGGGGCAGCAUGAUCUUAGCUUGCUAAGGUUGAUGGCGACCGGCGCACGGGUGCGUAACGCGUAUGCAACUUGCCUUACAGAGGGGGAUAACCCGUUGAAAGACGGACUAAAACCGCAUACACUUGUAUUAUUGCAUGAUAUUACAAGGAAAUAUUUAUAGCUGUAAGAUAGGCAUGCGUCCCAUUAGCUAGUUGGUGAGGUAACGGCUCACCAAGGCGACGAUGGGUAGGGGAACUGAGAGGUUUAUCCCCCACACUGGUACUGAGACACGGACCAGACUCCUACGGGAGGCAGCAGUGAGGAAUAUUGGUCAAUGGGCGAGAGCCUGAACCAGCCAAGUCGCGUGAAGGAAGACUGUCCUAAGGAUUGUAAACUUCUUUUAUACGGGAAUAACGGGCGAUACGAGUAUUGCAUUGAAUGUACCGUAAGAAUAAGCAUCGGCUAACUCCGUGCCAGCAGCCGCGGUAAUACGGAGGAUGCGAGCGUUAUCCGGAUUUAUUGGGUUUAAAGGGUGCGUAGGUUGUUCGGUAAGUCAGCGGUGAAACCUGAGCGCUCAACGUUCAGCCUGCCGUUGAAACUGCCGGGCUUGAGUUCAGCGGCGGCAGGCGGAAUUCGUGGUGUAGCGGUGAAAUGCAUAGAUAUCACGAGGAACUACGAUUGCGAAGGCAGCUUGCCAUACUGCGACUGACACUGAAGCACGAAGGCGUGGGUAUCAAACAGGAUUAGAUACCCUGGUAGUCCACGCAGUAAACGAUGAUUACUAGGAGUUUGCGAUAUACCGUCAAGCUUCCACAGCGAAAGCGUUAAGUAAUCCACCUGGGGAGUACGCCGGCAACGGUGAAACUCAAAGGAAUUGACGGGGGCCCGCACAAGCGGAGGAACAUGUGGUUUAAUUCGAUGAUACGCGAGGAACCUUACCCGGGAUUGAAAUGUAGAUGACUGAUGGUGAAAACCGUCUUCCCUUCGGGGCUUCUAUGUAGGUGCUGCAUGGUUGUCGUCAGCUCGUGCCGUGAGGUGUCGGCUUAAGUGCCAUAACGAGCGCAACCCACAUCGGUAGUUGCUAACAGU
rnacentral:rRNA from 1 species